GAUGAACGCUGGCGGCGUGCCUAAUACAUGCAAGUCGAGCGAACAGACGAGGAGCUUGCUCCUCUGACGUUAGCGGCGGACGGGUGAGUAACACGUGGAUAACCUACCUAUAAGACUGGGAUAACUUCGGGAAACCGGAGCUAAUACCGGAUAAUAUAUUGAACCGCAUGGUUCAAUAGUGAAAGACGGUUUUGCUGUCACUUAUAGAUGGAUCCGCGCCGCAUUAGCUAGUUGGUAAGGUAACGGCUUACCAAGGCGACGAUGCGUAGCCGACCUGAGAGGAUGAUCGGCCACACUGGAACUGAGACACGGUCCCGACUCCUACGGGAGGCAGCAGUAGGGAAUCUUCCGCAAUGGGCGAAAGCCUGACGGAGCAACGCCGCGUGAGUGAUGAAGGUCUUCGGAUCGUAAAACUCUGUUAUUAGGGAAGAACAAAUGUGUAAGUAACUAUGCACGUCUUGACGGUACCUAAUCAGAAAGCCACGGCUAACUACGUG
rnacentral:rRNA from 1 species